UACGUAGGGGGCAAGCGUUAUCCGGAUUUACUGGGUGUAAAGGGGGCGCAGACGGCGAUGCAAGCCAGGAGUGAAAGCCCGGGGCCCAACCCCGGGACUGCUCUUGGAACUGCGUGGCUGGAGUGCAGGAGGGGCAGGCGGAAUUCCUGGUGUAGCGGUGAAAUGCGUAGAUAUCAGGAGGAACACCAGUGGCGAAGGCGGAUUGCUGGACAGUAACUGACGCUGAGGCGCGAAAGCGUGGGGAGCAAACAGG
rnacentral:rRNA from 1 species